rnacentral:rRNA from 1 species
GUCCACGCCCUAAACGAUGUCUACUAGUUGUUGGGUCUUAAUUGACUUAGUAACGCAGCUAACGCGUGAAGUAGACCGCCUGGGGAGUACGGUCGCAAGAUUAAAACUCAAAGGAAUUGACGGGGACCCGCACAAGCGGUGGAUGAUGUGGAUUAAUUCGAUGCAACGCGAAAAACCUUACCUACCCUUGACAUGUACAGAAUGCCGAAGAGAUUUGGCGGUGCUCGCAAGAGAACUGUAACACAGGUGCUGCAUGGCU